CUCUGUUUCCGGUGGGGGAAUAAUAACAAUAUGACUGUUUUUGUAUCUGAAAUUGGACAGGUAAGAUGGUACCGUUCGAGAAGAGCUCGUCAGCGGAUGAAAGCUCUUGCUGGAAAUUGGUUCCGCCGGCGCCGAUGAAGAAAUCGAAAUCUGAGUCCAAAAGACAGGAAUCUAAUCUGGGGCACUCCUCCGAAAUUUCCGGUGUUUGGUUGUUGUUGGUAUUAAGGUCAUGGGAGAAGGAAAUCCGAGGGCUAAUAAUACCUGGACUUGGAAUCUCUGAACAGACAUCCACCGCCAUGACUUUGCAUCAAUGGAAGGAGAGUAUAUGAUAGCUCAGAGGUGAAAUGAGAAAAAAAACAGAGGAAUGUUCAAUAUAUAUAUGGAGGUUGAGAAGUAGAAACUGCAGAGUGAUUCAAAGGGGAGGGGAAGUCAGAAAUUGCAGCUUUG
rnacentral:lncRNA from 1 species